CGGGGUGAGUAACGCGUGGGUAACCUACUCUGUACACACGGAUAACAUACCGAAAGGUAUGCUAAUACAGGAUAAUAUAUUUGAGAGGCAUCUCUUGAAUAUCAAAGGUGAGCCAGUACAGGAUGGACCCGCGUCUGAUUAGCUAGUUGGUAAGGUAACGGCUUACCAAGGCGACGAUCAGUAGCCGACCUGAGAGGGUGAUCGGCCACAUUGGAACUGAGACACGGUCCAA
rnacentral:rRNA from 1 species